GCCCGGGUGGUGAAAUUGGUAUACACAAGAGACUUAAAAUCUCUCGCCGAAAGGCUUGCGGGUCCGAGUCCCGCCCCGGGCA
rnacentral:tRNA from 1 species